CCUUAUCGGUUAUCUAUUUUACAUAUAAUAGUGUGUACAUGUUAAUCCCAAACUCCUAAUUUAUAGACCCCCCCCUUCCCCUUUGGUAACCAUAAGUUUGUUUUCAAAGUCCAUGUGUCUGUUGCUGUUUUGUAAAUAAGUUCAUCUGUAUGUUUUUUUUAGAUUCCACGUAUAAGUGAUAUGGCAGGAUAUUUGUCUCUGUCUGACUUACUUCACUUAGUAUGAUCCUCUCUAGGUCCUGUCUUGUUGCGGCAAACGACAUUAACUUCUUUUAUUAACUUCUUGUAACUGGAGGGCUCCGUAUUACAGCACCUCCAGAGGCUGGGAUGGGAUCAGCGCCGUGAUAUCCCACUGCGGUUGAUGCUCAUGUGAAAACUUUCAAUGCACAAUGCAGUGGGUUGAAGGAUUGCCCCCCCACAAAAGAUGUGGAAUCUGUGAAGAUGACCGUAUGUGGGAGAAGUGUCUUCGAAGAUGUAAUUAAGGCUCUCAAGACAAGAUCAUGCUGGAUUAGGAUGGGCCCUAAAUCUGAUGACAAGUGUCCUUAGAUGAGAAGAGACAAACGAGAAGGGAAGAAGUUUCACAGAGGAGCAGGCCAAGUGAAGACAGAGGCAGAGACUGGAGCAAUGCGCCCACAAGGCACGGAAAGCCCACAAUUGCCAGCAACUGGCCGAAGCCCGGAGAGAGGCAUGGAAUGAAUUCUCCAGAAGGAACCACCCUGCUGACAUCUUGAUUUCAAACUUUUGGCCUCCAGAACUGUGAGACGAUACAUUUCUGCUGUUUUAAGCCACCAGGUUUGUGGCAAUUUGUUCCAGGAGCCCUAGAAGACCCAUGCAGAUGACGCUGUAGGUCUCAAAAUCAGAGGAGACUAGAAAAACCUUGCUUUGGUUCUUAAGCCUUAAAUAUGGUCUUGCCUCUGAAGGCAAGAAAAUGACAUGGUAUUUUUCCCCGCUUCCAAAGAGUUGAAACUCCUUGGCCUAAGUCUGCAUACCAUCUAGGGAGGGGAAAUUGACUCAUAGAACAGAGAUGUGAGCCUCAAGGUCAUAUGAAGAAGGGGCAGAGUAAGACGGCUCACCUAAGGGACCAGGGGGUGGCGAAUACAGCACGAAGGUCACAGGACCAAGGAUCUGAAGACCCCACUUCGAAUCCAGGUUCUGCCUCUCACUGGCCAGAUGACCUUAGGGACCCAGCUGACACUUCUUAUUUCGGGUCCUGCCUCCCCAGCAGCAGUCUGCAACUUGCCGGCAUCCGGACAGGAUGGCAGCCGGCAGCCGCUGAGCAGAGGAGAGAGCAGGUGCUAUCAUGGCCAAAGUGACCACAUCAAGGCAGUCGGGGAAGAAGCAGCCAAAGUGACAUGAGAGCCUCGGGGAGGCUCUUAGCCCCUGCAGGCCCCUGGACACCCUCAUCUCUCAGGGAGUAGAAUGGGGAAGCCAGCUGCUGAAGAGCUGGUAUGGCGAGAGCUGUCUCCACGCUGGACACCGAGGGACCAGCAUUUCCCAGGUUUUUCUCAGGAAGAAUAUCCAAUGCAAUUGAGGCCGGCUUCCCCCUUUCCCCCAAGUCAGACCCACUGGUCCAGGGGCUGCAGGAGGUGGGGAGCAGGAAGAAACUCUCCCCCUCUCUGCCCACGGGUCAGAUCUAGGAGGUGACAGGGGCCUGGGCUAAUCUUUAAAUGAAUUUUCUCUUUCCAUCCCCCAGAGCACUUAGAGCAGGCACAUCACCGCCCUGUAACUGUUGCAGGGAGACAGUGAGGCUAGAACUGGUCCCUAAGUUAGGUGGGGGGUGUGCCUGGAGGGGCAGGAGGGGGUGUGCGUCUCGGUCCCAGGCUCCCUGGCGGCUCGCAAUGCACCAGUGCUGACUCAGGGCUUCCCGCGCCCUCUCCUCUCCCACCCCAUCACCUGCCCCGGCCUUGGCCCGCCGAGCCCGUGCUGCUGGUUCUCCGGGUCUCCUUGCGCAGGGGCGGUUGGAACCCAAGCUGCUGCAGGCCCUCCCCCGCCCUCCCCGCCGCCCGGGCCAAGUCAGCAGUGCUGGCCGCCGCUGGGCUGCAGCAGCGGGCGGUGCAGAGGCCCUGCACCACUGCUCCGGGCUGGCGGGCGGCGCGCCUCUGCCGCGCUCGCGUCCCGACGGCCACCUCCCGGCGGCUGCGCGCAGCCAGCGCCGAGACAGGACCCGGUCCCUGAUUGGUGCAGUGAGUGAGUCUCGGGCUUUAUUUAUACAACCUUUUCUGCACGACUCUACUUCAUCGGAGUUGAGGGCUGGGGCCGGAGGCAGCCUUCCGGGCUGAGGAUGACAAACGGGGCUCUUGCACCGACUGGUUUCACGCAUCCUUGGAUGGGCCAUUUUCACAGGCGCUUCUGUUCCAAGCAUCCACUAAGCGUGGGGCUUGAUUUGCGGGAACCUCCAUAGAAGAACAAGACGUGUGGCAUCUCGGAAGGGCUGGGAGGGUGAAGCCCAGGGAUGCUGUUGUGUCUGGGCCCUGCCUUUGGACCUCCUGCUCUGAAUUGUGGACACCGGUCUGGAAAGCAAGACUGUCUUUCCAGUUGGGGGAACUGACACCAGGAGUCUUCCUGCUCAGCCCGGGACAGACACAGCACUGCAGCUGCCAGUCUUCCUGCCAAGGACGUGGGGAUAGGCAGCUCUCCGGGGGACCACCUGCACCCUCCAAGCAGAGCCAACUGGCCAGCUGAGUCCCUGGGACUCCUCCAGGGACUCAGGUAUAAGGCAAAGCCCUGAGCUCAGAGACAAGGAUGAUGAGGCCUAGAGGUUAUCUGACUUGCCCAAGGAGACAGGAAGCUCAGGGAAGGGCUGCGAAUCCCUGGAACGUGUUUCAACUGGCAUGUGGGACAAGGAUAAAGUCAUCAGCGCUGGACCCAUUGAGCGCCCCGACUCCAGAGAAAUAGGACAAGUGGUUCCACUUGUUUAACACUGAUUUGGGAUUGUGAAAGAGGACCAACCCGAAUACCCAUGAACCCAAAAUGCUGCUUACUGAUGACCUUCAGCUAUUCGGAGGUGAAUUACUGCCAGUAUCUAGAAGACAGCCCAUUUUCCUGGGUCAUGAGAUGACCUCCCCUCUAUGAUCCCUGGAGGUCAAACGUGGCUGCUCUCCCAAGGCAUUCCUACCAGGCAAGUGGGAGAGACACAGCUCCAGCACGGAAGUUCUAAAGACAGGGGUGAGGCUAAUCUGUGGCAAACGACAAUGGAAGGGGCCACGGCUGCAAAUAUACAACGUGGCAGUAUCCGCCCAAGGGAGAGAGGACGGCUGUUGGUGUGGCCGGCCAGAGAAGGGGCUCCGCUGAGGACAGUGGCCGGAUGCAUCAGACACGAGCAUCAUCCGUGUGGCCGUCGUGUUGGAGAUGUUUAUAUAGUCUAGGAUCUGGGAGCCUUUCUGGCUUUUGCGUUGACCUCGGCUAUCCUUUAGGGUAGACUUACCUUAGGAGGGCAGCUCAUUCCACCAAUGACUCUUUAACGUGUGUCUCGUCUCACGGUGGCCCCACCUGUCCUUGGCAUUUCUACAGCAUUCCCCGCUCAACAAUCUCAAAGCCCAGGUGUGGAGUUUUGUCCAACUCAACCCCCAAGGACACCCCUCUCUUCUAUAGAACAAUCCACCUUUUCUAUUGAUGUGGGUUGACUUUUUCUUUCUUUCUUCCUUUUUUCUAAUUAAUCAAUAGAAUAAUGUAGUUAUCCACAUCAGAAAUAAAGUGCUUAGGGGAGUUUCCUGCCAGUCCAAUGGUUAAGACUAUGUGCUUCCACUGCAGAGGGCCCAGGUUCGAUCCCUGUUUGGGGAACUAAGAUCCCACAAGCCAAGUGGCGCAGCCAAAAAAAAAAAAAAAGUACUUAUGUUAAUAUUUCCUGAAUUAGUGGAGAAUGAUCACUUUCCCCCUCCAUGGCCCUUUGCCUGUAAGAAAUGAGCAUUGUAAGCACGGGCCUACGGACCACCUUACUGCUAUUUCCUCUCAUGUCUUCCUGGGGGCCCAGGCUGGAAACUGGCUUAAUUGUUUCAGCCUCUGGUCCUCACUGCCCAUUGAUAAUGAUGGCGGUGGUGACCAAAGAUGGUGGAUUUGGGCCCCCAGUGUCCCUGCCUGGUUCCUUUGGCCUCAGGGAGGGGGAGAGGCUUCUUGGUAUGUUCCAGGACCAGCAAGGAAGCUAGUGUGGAACAGAGGCAGCAAGAGAGAUGGUAGAAAGAAGUAAGGGCAAAAGUCCG